rnacentral:rRNA from 1 species
UACGUAGGGCGCAAGCGUUGUCCGGAAUUAUUGGGCGUAAAGAGCUCGUAGGCGGCUUGUCACGUCGGGUGUGAAAGCCCGGGGCUUAACCCCGGGUCUGCAGUCGAUACGGGCAGGCUAGAGUUCGGUAGGGGAGACUGGAAUUCCUGGUGUAGCGGUGAAAUGCGCAGAUAUCAGGAGGAACACCGAUGGCGAAGGCAGGUCUCUGGGCCGAUACUGACGCUGAGGAGCGAAAGCGUGGGGAGCGAACAGG